rnacentral:lncRNA from 1 species
ACUGGGGAAGCUCGCGACCGGAGCAAAUCGCGGUGUCAAUCCGGGCGGCCGAGACGCCCCAGCCUGAGAUCUCGAGGGAAUCAGGGACAGCUGUACUAGGUUCAGGUUAGGCCACAGCCCUGGGAGUCUGAAGGAGGGUCGUGAGAACUCGGGCGACAGGGCCAGGUUGGGGGACGGACGGCAGUGCCGGUUCGUCAGGCCUGCAACGAGUGGCAAGAAGUCUCCUCUCCGGCAUCCCCGCCCCGCCGCUUCCGCUUCAGCGGGACUGGGCAUUUGGAAUGCUCCUCUUCGGGAUCCGGCAACAGGAGCUGCAGUGCACGUCUUAUCGAAGAAGGGAGCUUCGGUUCUUUUCCUCCCUCCAUUCCUUCCACUCUCUCCUCUCGACAGAUGUUGAAAACUCCUUGGCCUAGCCUAAAAUACCAGCGGACAGUUCCACCUCCAGCUAAUGAAGAAAACUCCUCUGGAAUACCUUGGAAUUUUCAGCCAGCUUCUGCUUCAUUUCUUCCAGUAGAAGAGGAAUCACUACCUCACAAGACAUCCAUUGACUUGGGGGCAGCUUUAUUUGUUAAGAGUGUCUUGUUUAUAGAACUCUUUUUUUCCUUAGUAAAGUAUAGAGGAUUUCAAAGUCAUUUGCUUAGAUUUCAUCAAAGAUGAUCAUAUUAUCUUGUGUUGGGCUUCUUUAUCUUGAAAUACAAAGAAUUCGCCAUUGUUUGGCUUCUAGGUUAAGACUACUGUUUGUGGAGAACACAAGCAAAAGCUAAAGCUUUGAGAAAGUAUCAGGAUUUGGUAUUCAGCAUACAUGUUGCAGGGCUACCCAUGGCCUUGCUCUGAGACCUACUUGGAGAGCCCUAGUUAUUUAUCACUUCCCCCAGGGCUGGGUUCAGACUAUACUGAUGGUAAAAGUUUUGUAGAAUGGUUGUUAGAAUCUCAUGUUCUCUUUUUAGCCAGACAAAAAAAGCCUUUCAAAAAAGUUAAAUUCUCUUUCAUUGCUGUGAAAAUUGGCAUAAAAGUUAAUCUCUUACCUGUCAAGUAUCCAAACCAUUCACCAAAUGAAACUAAGAACUUAGAUGGCUUCCUUAAAAAAAAUUCAUACAGAUUCUACUAUCUAAUAUAGAAAAGAAAGAAAAAUCCCAGAUUAUUUGGCCAUUGUCCUCCCAUUGGAAUCAAGAUAAUAUGCUUUUUAUUGUUAUAUACUUAAUAAUUUUUUUGCAAAUUUAUAUCUAGUUUUAUGGUCCCUAUUUAUCUCAUCUUUUUUAUUAUUGAAGUGUGUGGUUGAUUUAUUGAGUUAGUCUCUAUAUAGCCCAGUUAGCUUCUUUCUUUGCUGUUGUUAUAGAUUAUACUAGUCAGCUAUCUCUCAAAUUCUACCCUCUUACAAAUGUAAAUGUUGGUUACAAGAGCAAGGUGGAAUCAAGAUCAGCACAAAUUAAUCACAACCACUGUGAAAUAUCUGCUUUAUUGAUGGUACUUCAAGAGCAUCACCUUUCCACAUACAUCAGGAAUUAUGACUUUAUGAUAAACUUGCUCUUGCUGCAAGAGUGCAAGAGUUAAUAGGUUGGAUUAAAAGACAAGACUGAUUCUUAGUCCUAGCCCUGACAUUGAACUUGGAAGUACCUGAUGGACUCUAUAUUUGCCCACUGUAAAGACCACUAUUUUUUAAAGUAUAAUAUUGGCUUUACUCCCUGUGUUGUACAAUAUAUCCCAGUAGCUUAUUUUAUACUUAAUAGUUUGUACAUCUUAAUCCCCUACUCCUAUAUUGCCCCUCUCCUCUCCCCUCUCUCCACCGGUAACCACUAAUUUAUUCUCUUUAUCUGUGAAUCUGUUUCUUUUUUGUUAUAUUCACCAGUUUGUUGUAUUUUUUAGAUUCUACAUAUAAGUGAUAUCAUGUAGUACUUGUCUUUCUCUGAAAAGACCACUAUUGAAAAUUUAGCUGAAAGAAAGAGAGGAAGGAGAUGAAUUAUAAUGUAACUAUCAUUUCAAAGGUUCAGGCAAAAGAUCUUUCUGAGUAACUGUCUUAAAAUUUAGAGUUUUUUUUUUUUUAAUUAAAUUCACUUUUUUUGUG